rnacentral:rRNA from 1 species
CGCGACGGCGUUCGUCGCCUUGCAGCCUCUCGGGCCGAAGACGUGCCAUGGGCUAGCCCCAUCGGUUCUCUUCGCCCAAACAACAAACCCCCGGCGCCGAACGCGCCAAGGAACAUGAUUCUAAGGGCGUUCUCUUGUCGUCCCGGCAACGGUGCACGUGCAACGAGUGACGCGAAAUUUGUAUCCAAAAUGACUCUCGGCAACGGAUAUCUCGGCUCUCGCAUCGAUGAAGAACGUAGCGAAAUGCGAUACUUGGUGUGAAUUGCAGAAUCCCGUGAACCAUCGAGUCUUUGAACGCAAGUUGCGCCCGAAGCCAUUAGGCCGAGGGCACGUCUGGCUGGGUGUCACGCAACGUCGCCCCAACCCCCACGCCCAUCGCAGGGCGUCGGGGGUCGAGGGCGGAUGAUGGCCUCCCGUGAGCCACGCCUCGCGGAUGGCCGAAAUAAGAGUUUGCGAUGUGGCGAGCACCACGGCGCACGGUAGUUGAGUAAACAACGCUCGAGCCCAGUCGUGCGUGCUCCGCCCCCGUGGCGAGCUCGGAGACCCUAUCGCGUCUCGGGACGCUUCUGAUGCGACCUCAGCUCAGGCGGGGCUACCCGCUGAGG